rnacentral:rRNA from 1 species
GCCUAUAUGAAGUCGGAAUUGCUAGUAAUCGCGGAUCAGCAUGCCGCGGUGAAUACGUUCCCGGGCCUUGUACACACCGCCCGUCACACCAUGAGAGUCGAUAACACCCGAAGCCUGUAGUCUAACAGCAAUGAGGACGCAGUCGAAGGUGGGAUUGAUAAUUAGGGUGAAGUCGUAACAAGGUACC